rnacentral:rRNA from 1 species
CAUGCUAGUCGAACGGUAACAGGAAGCAGCUUGCUGCUUUGCUGACGAGUGGCGGACGGGUGAGUAAUGUCUGGGGAUCUGCCCGAUGGAGGGGGAUAACCACUGGAAACGGUGGCUAAUACCGCAUAACGUCGCAAGACCAAAGUGGGGGACCUUCGGGCCUCACACCAUCGGAUGAACCCAGAUGGGAUUAGCUAGUAGGUGGGGUAACGGCUCACCUAGGCGACGAUCCCUAGCUGGUCUGAGAGGAUGACCAGCCACACUGGAACUGAGACACGGUCCAGACUCCUACGGGAGGCAGCAGUGGGGAAUAUUGCACAAUGGGCGCAAGCCUGAUGCAGCCAUGCCGCGUGUAUGAAGAAGGCCUUCGGGUUGUAAAGUACUUUCAGCGGGGAGGAAGGGAUGGCGCUUAAUACGCGCCGUCAUUGACGUUACCCGCAGAAGAAGCACCGGCUAACUCCGUGCCAGCAGCCGCGGUAAUACGGAGGGUGCAAGCGUUAAUCGGAAUUACUGGGCGUAAAGCGCACGCAGGCGGUCUGUUAAGUCAGAUGUGAAAUCCCCGGGCUUAACCUGGGAACUGCAUUUGAAACUGGCAGGCUUGAGUCUCGUAGAGGGGGGUAGAAUUCCAGGUGUAGCGGUGAAAUGCGUAGAGAUCUGGAGGAAUACCGGUGGCGAAGGCGGCCCCCUGGACGAAGACUGACGCUCAGGUGCGAAAGCGUGGGGAGCAAACAGGAUUAGAUACCCUGGUAGUCCACGCCGUAAACGAUGUCGACUUGGAGGCUGUUUCCUUGAGAAGUGGCUUCCGGAGCUAACGCGUUAAGUCGACCGCCUGGGGAGUACGGCCGCAAGGUUAAAACUCAAAUGAAUUGACGGGGGCCCGCACAAGCGGUGGAGCAUGUGGUUUAAUUCGAUGCAACGCGAAGAACCUUACCUGGUCUUGACAUCCACGGAAUUCGGCAGAGAUGCCCUAGUGCCUUCGGGAACCGUGAGACAGGUGCUGCAUGGCUGUCGUCAGCUC